rnacentral:rRNA from 1 species
AACGAACGCUGGCGGCGUGCCUAACACAUGCAAGUCGAACGGGAAAACCCGCAAGGGUGAGUACAGUGGCGCACGGGUGCGUAACACGUGGGUAAUCUGCCCAGAAGCCCGGAAUAACUCCCCGAAAGGGGUGCUAAUGCCGGAUGAGACCACGGGGACUUCGGUUCCUGGGGGAAAAGGUGGCCUCUGUAUACAAGCUAUCACUUCUGGAUGAACCCGCGGCCCAUCAGCUAGUUGGCGGGGUAAUGGCCCACCAAGGCGACGACGGGUAGCUGGUCUGAGAGGACGAUCAGCCACACUGGAACUGAGACACGGUCCAGACUCCUACGGGAGGCAGCAGUGGGGAAUCUUGCGCAAUGGGCGAAAGCCUGACGCAGCAACGCCGCGUGUGUGAUGAAGGUCUUCGGAUCGUAAAGCACUGUCGGGAGGGACGAAUAAGGGCCGGGUGAACAAUCCGGUCUGACGACGGUACCUCCAAAGGAAGCACCGGCUAACUCUGUGCCAGCCGCCGCGGUAACAC